rnacentral:lncRNA from 1 species
GUAGGCCAACGAGAAAUCACUGACUGCAUCGUAAACGUACUAAGUGUACCGACUUCAUUUUACGUUUUUUAUUUCAAAACGUCACAAUAGUGUGCGAUACCUAUAAGUAUGCGCUCUAUUGAUAAUCACGUGAUGUUUGCUGACGGGAAUUCCGUUUUGUUUUAAAACCGCAAGGGUUAUUGAAAUCAGAACGACAUCGAGGAGUAAUGACCUUUUGAGAGAUAACAUUUCCGCUGUCAAGGUUAUACCACUUAUAAAGGGUGUAUUUUCAAUAUUUAGUUUCAGAUAUGAUAAAAUUAGAAAACAGUUUUACUUCUGAAACAAAGUCAGGAAAACAGGAAAAAAAUAACUGCUAAUUGGUUUAUCACCAGGAUAUACAGGCAAUACAGUACACAAUGGAAUCUGACGGCGGGCUCGAUGCAAUUUUGAAUCAGGUGGCAGAAAACGCGAAAAGAAACUACUACGAGUUACUGAAUGAAAGUAGUGACAAUUUAUUUUUACCUCAAGUACCUCUGAAUUGUUACGAUAUUAAUUGCUGAAGUUUCCUUUGAUCUUGGAUUAGUCUUUCUGUUCGAGACUGAACAAAAUGCAGUAUCUGACGACAGCGCGUUGCUAAAAUCACAAAAUUUGGAAAUAAAAUGCAAAAGUGAUGAUCGUUUCGGCAAACCGGUCACGGACCAGGAAAUUGAAGAGCUUAAAUCCUCGAAACGAAACACCGCGAAAAACAAUCUGUGGGCGCAUAAAGUUUUCAAAAUCUGGCGACAACACCGUGAUUCGGGUAACAUACCAGAACUUCAUUCUAUGGACAAAUCAGUGUUGUCAUAUUGGUUAAUACAUUUCGUAAUGGAAAUAAAAAAAAAACAAAAAUGAGAUGAUUACCCCCCGAAAUCGUUUUACUUUGUCAUGUGUGGACUUUUAAGGCAUUUACGUGGGCAUGGGAUGAACGACAUAAACUUUCUUGAUAAAAACGAUCCCGCAUAUGCUUAAUUUUAUACUGUACUGGAUAGUAAAAUGAAAAAUCUUCUAGAUCAAGGCCUUGGCACUGACACAAAACAAGUCGAUCCAAUUUCUAGUGAUGACGAAAACAAAUUAUAAAAUCCGGUGUUCUAAGGAUUCUAAAACUUUGCAGCUGACUGUGUUCUUUAAUGCAUGCAAGUUGUUUGGUUUAAAAGGUCGUGGUGAACACCGUGGUCUUCAAUGUGACAUGUUUUAAAUUGGUGAAGAUGCUGAAGGACGAUUCAUUCGAUUCAUUGGCCGAGGAUCUAAAACCUACCAUGGUGGACUAGGCCAGAUAUCUAUACAAACAAAGAUAUAAAACACUACUGUACACCAGGUCCACGCUGCAUGGCCACGCACUUUGAUACGUAUAUAAAUGCCGUAGGUAACGACGGUGACUUUUACAAGAGGCCUCUUCCUGCUAUGUCUGGAAACUUGAUCCGGUAUGGACUUCAGACACUCGGUGUGAACAAUCUCACUAAAUUCACGAAAGAAAUAAGUCAUAGGAUCUUUGAAAGGUGUAUAUUCCAACCAUAGUUGGAAACAAACUUGUGCAACCAGCAUUUACGAAGCUGGUAUAGACGAGCAGGAUAUUAUGGACAGGACAGGUAAUAGAUCUGUUACUGCUGUCAGAAGGUAUAAACGCUCGAACGAUAAAAUCCGUAAAAAGUGUCAAAUGUACUGCAGCCAAAUUCUGACGUCAGCGUAUCCAUGUCGAAAAGGCAUGAGCAAAGUGGCGAUCACAGAGAAACGAAUCUUAAAAACUCGCCGUGCCAUAAAAGACAAAAGGUUCGAAAUGCACUGUCUGAACUUACCACCAUACCUGGGGUAGUUAAUUUUAGGGUAUACGGUUUAACCACUGAAAGUUUUCUACUGAAAAGUCCCUAGGCUAUGAUACAAACAGGAUAUACUAGUAGGAAAUGGUUUGCUGUUCUAUCUCUCCAUAUAUUCAGUGCGGGUUAUCUACAAUUGAUUUUCUGAAUAGAUCAUAUUUUAAGAAGCUGCAUUCUAGCCGAAGACGGGCAUGAAGGGCAUGGUCUUAACCUGCUCCCAAUAAGAAAUAGCGAUGGAAUACUAUGACAAUUCAUAUUAAGGAGGUAGGUUACCUUCAUAUUUGUAUGUGCGCAUGUCCAACCGGAAGCUAACGUGACGAUUUACGACGGCGUUUACGACAAACUAAAUGUGUCUGUAUAUUCAUUCUUCUGAAAAUUAA